GACGAACGCUGGCGGCGUGCCUAAUACAUGCAAGUAGAACGCACAGUUUAUACCGUAGCUUGCUACACCAUAGACUGUGAGUUGCGAACGGGUGAGUAACGCGUAGGUAACCUGCCUGGUAGCGGGGGAUAACUAUUGGAAACGAUAGCUAAUACCGCAUAAUAUUGAUUAUUGCAUGAUAAUUUAUUGAAAGAUGCUAUUGCAUCACUACCAGAUGGACCUGCGUUGUAUUAGCUAGUAGGUGAGGUAACGGCUCACCUAGGCGACGAUACAUAGCCGACCUGAGAGGGUGAUCGGCCACACUGGGACGGAGACACGGCCCAGACUCCUACGGGAGGCAGCAGUAGGGAAUCUUCGGCAAUGGACGAAAGUCUGACCGAGCAACGCCGAGUGAGUGAAGAAGGUUUUCGGAUCGGAGAGCUCUGUUGUCAGAGAAGAACGGGUGUGAGAGUGGAAAGUUCACACUGUGACGGUAUCUUACCAGAAAGGGACGGCUAACUACGUG
rnacentral:rRNA from 1 species